rnacentral:lncRNA from 10 species
CUUGGCAAGACCCAUGGGUCUUGCGUCAUAGCCUGAGAGAUAAAUCCUACAAUGAUUUAGGGGUCUGCCAUACUUAUGAAGAUUUUAGGGACUCAAUGGUUUGGGCUAUGCAGGGAUAUCCCCUUUAAGGUAAAGCAAAUGUUAUCGUACUUCAAACUUUUCACCCCCAAAAAAGAGCACAGUAGCAAUGGGCCUCUUUGGACUGUAGUGACAGUACAUAUUCUACUUCAGAAUACUGCUUUGACUAAUUUCUUAGAUGCCAAGAACCUGGACAUCCUCCACCAGAACAAUCUCACAACAUG